rnacentral:rRNA from 1 species
UUUUCCUACGGGAGGCAGCAGUGAGGAAUAUUGGUCAAUGGGCGCGAGCCUGAACCAGCCAAGUCGCGUGAGGGAAGACGGUCCUAUGGAUUGUAAACCUCUUUUGUCGGGGAGCAAAAGACGCCACGCGUGGCGUUCCGAGAGUACCCGAAGAAAAAGCAUCGGCUAACUCCGUGCCAGCAGCCGCGGUAAUACGGAGGAUGCGAGCGUUAUCCGGAUUUAUUGGGUUUAAAGGGUGCGUAGGCGGACUGUUAAGUCAGCGGUAAAAGCCCGGGGCUCAACCCCGGCGAGCCGUUGAAACUGGC